rnacentral:rRNA from 1 species
UACAGGGGGGGCAAGCGUUGUUCGGAAUUACUGGGCGUAAAGCGCUCGUAGGCGGCCAACUAAGUCACACGUGAAAUCCCCAGGCUUAACCUGGGAACUGCGUGUGAUACUGGAUGGCUUGAAUUCGGGAGAGGGAUGCAGAAUUCCAGGUGUAGCGGUGAAAUGCGUAGAUAUCUGGAGGAAUACCGGUGGCGAAGGCGGCAUCCUGGACCGACAUUGACGCUGAGGAGCGAAAGCUAGGGGAGCAAACGGG